GACGAACGCUGGCGGCGUGCCUAAUACAUGCAAGUAGAACGCACAGUUUAUACCGUAGCUUGCUACACCAUAGACUGUGAGUUGCGAACGGGUGAGUAACGCGUAGGUAACCUGCCUGGUAGCGGGGGAUCACUAUUGGAAACGAUAGCUAAUACCGCAUAAUAUUGAUUAUUGCAUGAUAAUUGAUUGAAAGAUGCUAUUGCAUCACUACCAGAUGGACCUGCGUUGUAUUAGCUAGUAGGUGAGGUAACGGCUCACCUAGGCGACGAUACAUAGCCGACCUGAGAGGGUGAUCGGCCACACUGGGACGGAGACACGGCCCAGACUCCUACGGGAGGCAGCAGUAGGGAAUCUUCGGCAAUGGACGAAAGUCUGACCGAGCAACGCCGCGUGAGUGAAGAAGGUUUUCGGAUCGUAAAGCUCUGUUGUAAGAGAAGAACGGGUGUGAGAGUGGAAAGUUCACACUGUGACGGUAUCUGACCAGAAAGGGACGGCUAACUACGUG
rnacentral:rRNA from 1 species